ACGGGAGGCAGCAGUGGGGAAUAUUGGGCAAUGGGCGAAAGCCUGACCCAGCGACGCCGCGUGAGGGAAGACGGUCUUCGGAUUGUAAACCUCUUUCAGCAGGGAAGAAGACAGUGACGGUACCUGCAGAAGAAGUCACGGCUAACUACGUGCCAGCAGCCGCGGUAAUACGUAGGUGGCGAGCGUUAUCCGGAAUUACUGGGUGUAAAGGGUGUGUAGGCGGAGGAGCAAGUCAGGUGUGAAAAUUGUGGGCUCAACCCACCAACUGCACUUGAAACUGUUCCCCUUGAGAGUGGGAGAGGUAAACGGAAUUCCUGGUGUAGUAGUGAAAUGCGUAGAUAUCAGGAGGAACACCGGUGGCGAAGGCGGUUUACUGGACCACAACUGACGCUGAGUCACGAAAGCGUGGGGAGCAAAC
rnacentral:rRNA from 1 species